UCCCUCUCUGCCUUUCAUUGUUGAGGUUGACGCCUCUGCCCAUGGGGUUGGUUCAGUCCUCUCCCAGCGCCACGAAGAGGAGCGCGUUCCACAUCCCUGUGCCUUCUUUUCUAAGAAACUCUCUCCUGCUGAGGUUAACUAUGACGUGGGUAAUCGUGAACUCACCACCCCUUUGUCAUUAUCAUGGACAUAAGAAACUGUCCUAUAUUCUAUCUGCCAAGCGCCUCAACUCGCGUCAGGCCCAUUGGUCACUUUUCUUCUCUCGUUUCAAUUUUGUCAUCACCUAAAUGCCUUACUCCAAGAAUGGGAGGGCUUAUGCACUCUCUCGGCUCCAUGACCCCCCAGACCUAGACUACACACCUGAACCAAUCAUCUCAUCCAACAGAAUCGUGGCGGCGAUUCACUGCUCUAUUGAGGAUCAGAUCAGACUUGCCCUCAACGGAACUACAGUUCCUCUGCGCUGUCCCCCGGAUAAGCUUUUUGUGGUGGAUCGCUUGCGUUCAUGCUGUCUUGCAGUGGGGUCAUGACUCCCGGUUUGCGGGUCAUCCUGGCAACAGUUCACUUCAUUAUGGAUCUUCCUAACAGUCAAGGCCAUACAUCAUGGUGGUUUCCGAUCGAUUUUCCAAAAUGGCGCAUUUUGUCCUCCUCCCCGCACUGCCCACGGCCCGGGAAAUGGCAUCACCGUUUCUGCAGAAGGUUUUCAGGAUACAUGGUCUGCCCAGGGAUGUGGUCUCUGAGAGGGGCCCUCAAUUUGCCUCUGCCUUUUGGAAGGCUUUCUGUCAAGCACUUGGGACCCAUGUAUCCUUGACUUCUGGAAAUCACCCUGAGGCCAAUGGACAGGUGGAAAUGACUAACCAAAUCCUCCUUACUUUUCUGAGAACAUUCACCUCCUCUUCACAGGAUGACUGGUCAUCACUGCUUCCCUGGGCAGAGUAUGCCCAUAACUCCCUUACCUCCUCCUCCACAGGUCUCUCUCCCUUCCUCUGUUCAUUAGGAUAUCAACCCCUCUCAUCCCCGACACCCCUCCGGAUAUGGCUGUGCCUUCAGUGCAACAAUUCAUUUCCAAGCUGCGGAGGUCCUGGAGAAUGGCUAGGACAGCUCUCACCAAGUCGUCCCAGCGCCAGGCCAGAUUCGCUAACCUGCAUCGCCGACCAGCCCCCCAUUUUCAGAGAGGACAGUUAGUCUGGUUAUCCACGAGGAACCUACCUCUAUGCCUGCCAUCCAAGAAGCUCUGUCCUAGCCCUACCACCGUUCGCCCCUUGCGGCUCCCAAACGUCGCCCCUCACCCCCGCGUCUUAUUCAGGAGCACCUGGUCUAUACGGUCCUCAAGCUCCUCGACUCCAGAUGGCACCAUGGUACCAUGAGCCAGGGGUAAGUUAGCUCCUCGGUGGGGGCCAGAAUUACAUGUGGUAGUGGGACCCGUAACAGACCAGAGUCCGGUAUACAGGAUUAGGCCUGAGGGCAGGGAAGGUCCGGAGAGGACACUACAUUGCAAUAACCUGCGUCUCUGCAACAUCCCUCAGUUAGAGGACAGUCAGGACCAAGAGGAGUCAGUGUCAGAGGAAAUCACAAUGCAGGUAACAGAAGUGCAAAGAGGAGCUGAGUCUCCGACCAGAGGGUUUCCACUGUUGUGGACGUUUGCACCCUGAGUAGCUUCUCCGCUUGAGGUAACUUGCAGCGAACCACAAGAGGGAUGGAAUGGGCCACCACCAGAGACCAGUACCCUCCCCGAGCCUGAGAGGACUGUUGAAGAAGAGGGGAGGGUAGGGGAACUCGAGGCGACAGAGCGUGAGGGUAUGCUGCGCAGAUCAACCAGAUCCACAAGAAGGGUUCAGCCUGCGAGAGGAGCACUGCCGGAGCUUAUCGUUGGCAAACUGAAGACCAGGCCGACCUCUUCUGUGACUCUUGAACACUGAAUCUCAAGAUUGUGAAUUCAAGCUCCACGCUGGCGGGAAAUUC